AACGAACGCUGGCGGCAUGCCUAACACAUGCAAGUCGAACGAGACCUUCGGGUCUAGUGGCGCACGGGUGCGUAACGCGUGGGAACCUGCCCUUAGGUUCGGAAUAACUCCCCUAAAUGGGUGCUAAUACCGGGUAAUGUCUUCUGACCAAAGAUUUUUCUCCUUUGGAUGGGCCCGCGUUGGAUUAACUAGGUGGUAGGGUAAAAGCCUACCAAGGCGACGAUCCAUAGCUGGUCUGAGAGGAUGAUCAGCCACACUGGGACUGAGACACGGCCCAGACUCCUACGGGAGGCAGCAGUGGGGAAUAUUGGACAAUGGGCGAAAGCCUGAUCCAGCAAUGCCGCGUGAGUGAUGAAGGCCUUAGGGUUGUAAAGCUCUUUUACCCGGGAUGAUAAUGACAGUACCGGGAGAAUAAGCUCCGGCUAACUCCGUG
rnacentral:rRNA from 1 species